AUUUGGGAUCCUCCUCCUGCAGCCUCCUGAACUUCUGGGAUUACAGAUUGUAAACUUGAAGUAGGACCCUAUUCAAGUGAUGAUCCAAGUUAUAAAACGACCUCCUGUCACAAAAACAUGAGAAGUUUGUUUUUCCUUUGGAUGAAGCUGACUAGCUAACAGUUACCUUAAUUACCAGGUGACUCUAGGAUGAACUAUGUGCGACAAAUGGAGCUGUUAAGUCUUAUUUUAGAACUAGCUAUUGUUUACCUUGAGAACAUGUAUGUAUUGGACUGUUUCUGCAUCACUGUAUAAAAAGAUGAUAUUUCUUUGAUUUUGUGAUCUCUUAGUAGCUUGCCUAUGAUAGACAUCACAUUUUGGUUUAAUGUUUAUUCAACAACCAAAACUGUUUGCAUUAUCUGUGUUUGUGGAGAGAUGUUCUGGGUUGAGAGAUUUUGUUUUAAAUUUUAUUUCACCAACAGGAGCAUUCAGAAAAUAUUUGUCACAGAUCUGAGUUGCCAUAGUAAUUAGAGAUAUGAAAUUGGGAAUAGACUGAAGAAUGCUUUCUAAUAGCAUACUUACAAAAUUCUUAUGAAAGACUCCUUCUUUGAACUAGGUCAUUGCUUGAUUCCUAUGGAAUUAUAAAUUUCUACAUUACAUUCUAUCCUCAGAAUCCUAAGGGAUCACAGAAUCAAGGGGACUGAAUCUAGAACCAUAAACAACAUCUCUGGAUGCGUGAAUUAAUAUAUAUUUUACCUAGAGUCAAAUAUGUACAGAUGCUCCUUAAUUUUGGAUAGGGUUAUAUCCCAGUAAGCACACUGCAAGUCGAAAUUAUCACAAAUUAAAAAUGCAUUUAAUACACCUAAAUUACUAUCAUAGCUUUAGCACAUAGCACACUAUAGAAUACCAGUUGUUUACACUGCUGGUCACAUGACUGACUAGGAGCAGCUGCUCACUGCCACAGCUCAGCAUUGCAAGAAAGUAUGAGUCACAUAAUCCACAUCCUAGGAAAAUAUAAAAUUAAAAAUUUGAAGUAUGAUUUCUAUUGAAUACAAAUCACUUCUGUACCCACUAUAAAAUAAAAAUAUCACUAGGUGGAACCAUUGUAAGUUGGGGACUGACUGUGUGUGUUUGUGUAUAUGUGUUUACCAUUUAAUACAACACUAUAAUGAUCGCUUUUAAUUUCUUUAUAUGUAUCAAGCCAUACUCUUAUUAUACUUAUGAGAAUGAAAACAAAAAGUCUUAAAACACAUUAA